GAUGAACGCUAGCUACAGGCUUAACACAUGCAAGUCGAGGGGAAACGAUAUUGGAAGCUUGCUUCCGAUAGGCGUCGACCGGCGCACGGGUGAGUAACGCGUAUCCAACCUGCCCACCACUUGGGGAUAACCUUGCGAAAGUAAGACUAAUACCCGAUGAUAUCCCUAGACGACAUCUGAAAGGGAUUAAAAGAUUUAUCGGUGAUGGAUGGGGAUGCGUCUGAUUAGCUUGUUGGCGGGGUAACGGCCCACCAAGGCAACGAUCAGUAGGGGUUCUGAGAGGAAGGUCCCCCACAUUGGAACUGAGACACGGUCCAAAACUCCUACGGGAGGCAGCAGUGAGGAAUA
rnacentral:rRNA from 1 species